ACUAGUAGCAGAGCCUCCUGUCCGGGGAGGCACAGCUUCUUCACCUCUGCCAUGGACCAGAACCGCGGGAGCAAGCCCCGGUUGGGGCCACCCCUCCCACCCCCCAGAUGCAUGGACUGCCCAGCUUGGAGAGAGGAUGACCCCAGCCCAGCUCCUCUGCCUGCCUUGGGGACCUGGAGACCAGGGGUAAGUCCAGCCGCCCCCCUCUGCCGCCCCCCUCCGCCGCCGCCUCGGGCCACCUCCGUCCGUCCCUUCCCGGGCUCUGCAUGUCUUCUCCAAGGCUCUGGAGGAGGAGGAGGAGGAGGAGGAAGAGGAGGAGGAGGAGGACGCCUACGAGCUGCCGCCCUGUGAGGCUCUGCCCCUCCAUCUAGCCCCUGCCCAUCUCCCUGGCGAAGAGGACGACGACUUGUACUGGGGUGAGCGGGGCGAGCGCCGGGACAAAGGAGGCGGGGAGGUGUGGGCGGGAGGG
rnacentral:lncRNA from 1 species